CAUUGAUAAACAGCAUCAUCAGAGGGAUCCAUAAGUCCCUGUUGGAGUCAGUCAGAGCAUUUCCAUAGAGAGCCACUUUGCAUCAGCAGCACCAUCCUCCAGUGCUCUGGGAGAGUUUAUAGUCCUGAGAGUUGGACACUGGAUGACUGACAGCUGUCCUUCAUCACAACAGAAGACGCAGAAAUCCUCCUCAUCAAAAACAUGACUUUGAUCUCCGUCCUCAUCUGGACUCUCCUCUGCUUCACUCAGGGGUCUGUUGGACAAAACGUUGUCUUGACUCAGCCAGCGGCCAAAUCAGUGCAGCCGGGUCAAACUGUUUCUAUUGACUGUAAAGCCAGUCCGACGGUUGUUCAGUAUUCUGGUUCACAAUACUUCCUGGCCUGGUACCAGCAGAAAACGGGAGAAGCUCCUAAACUUCUGAUCUACAGAACAUCAGACAGACUUUCCGAAGUCUCGUCCAAAUUCAGUGGAAGUGGAGCAGGGAAUGGAGUUGACUUCACUCUGACCAUCAGUGGAGUUCAGGCUGUAGAUGCAGCAGUUUACUAUUGUCAGAGUUAUCACUCUAUCAACAGUCAGCAUGUGUUCACACAGUGAAAAAGCGUCGUACAAAAACCUCCCUCAGUCAGAGUGAACAGAAACUGAACUGACUGCUGCAGCUGGAAGCUACUGCAGAGACUGAUACA